rnacentral:rRNA from 1 species
GACGAAUGCUGGCGGCGUGCUUAACACAUGCAAGUCGAACGGAAAGGCCCGGCUUUCCUUGGGGGCUCGAGUUGCGAACGUGUGAGUAACGCGUGUAUAACCUGCCCGUGACUUUGGCAUAACUUCAAGAAACUGGGGCUAAUAGCUGAUAGUAGCUCCAGCUCCAUGGUGUGGGUUGUAAAGUUUCGGCGGUUGGGGUUGGACUGGGGGCUUAUCAGCUGGGUUUGUGGGUAGUGGCUUGGCAAGGCUUUGACGGGUAGGCGGCCUGGGAAGGGGGACGGCGACAUGGGGCCUGAGAUGCGGCGCAGCAGCAUACGGGAGGCAGCAGUGGGGAAUAUUACACAGUGGCCGGAAGCCUGAUGCAGCAACGCCGGGUGUGGGAUGACGGCCUUCGGGUUGUAAACCGCUUGCGACUGUGACGAAGCGUGAGUGACGGUAAUGGGAAAAGAAGCACCGGCUAACUACGUG